AGAACAGGAAACUCUGCCUUUUGAUUCCCCUCUGUCUCACAAAGGAAGUGUCGACCUAAAGGGGUGGUGAGUCUUCAUUGGGAGCCAAACAUUUGGGCCACACAGUGAGGAUUAAGAAGUUCCCAUUCCCAUCGUUUUCCCUUCACUGUCCCAAACGUUGGUCAGGAAGUCAGACUUGGUCUGGCCCUGACCUGCUGUGGUUUGAAGCAUCAUAAUUUAGUAUUCAUUAUGUGUCAGGGGAAACCUAGAAAAUCAUCCCCUCCCGCUUCUGCUUUCCACAGCUCUGUCAUCUCCCAACCUCAAACAGUGGAUUUCAGAAAAAUAGGCAAAGCCUGAGGUACCCCUCACACCAAGGGUAUUCUGAGGAAAUGGAGGCCCACCUCACUUCAAUGUGAUAAGCUACUUCAGGAUCCUGUGGAAAAGCUGCAUUAUAAUCGAUAGCCUCAUAAAUAAAUGAAGAGUCAACGCAGCCUGUCUCCUCCAGCUCAGGGCAUCUUCAGGAAAAUCGAACCUCGAGCCACUUCUGCUCACCCAUUCUGGAUUUCUACAGAGGCCUCCAUAGGGAAGGAAUCUUACAGGUCAUCCUGAGCAUCCCCCUGCCUCUGGGCUGGCCUGCCAUGUACCCCAUCCA